UUACUAGAGUAGCACUCGCAUAUCAAUAAGCGGAGGAAAAGAAACUAACAAGGAUUCCCCUAGUAACGGCGAGUGAAGCGGGAAGAGCUCAAAUUUGAAAUCUUAAAGGGUUUCCCUUUACGAAUUGUAGUUUAAAGAAGUGUUUUCUGUUGAGGUUUUGGUAAAAGUUCUUUGGAAUAGGACAUCAUAGAGGGUGAGAAUCCCGUAUUUGACCUUUACUUUCAACUUUGUGAUACACUUUCAAAGAGUCGGAUUGUUUGGGAAUGCAGUCCAAAAUGGGUGGUAAAUCUUCAUCUAAAGCUAAAUAUUGGCGAGAGACCGAUAGCGAACAAGUACCGUGAGGGAAAGAUGAAAAGAACUUUGAAAAGAGAGUUAAACAGUACGUGAAAUUGUCAAAGAGGGAAGCGUUUGACACCAGUGUUGUUUUUCUGAAAAUCAAUUAAAGAACUGUUUAUGCUAAGCUGUUUAGACUUUAUCAGCUAUCUGUUUAGUUUUAGGCUUUUCUUUAGUGCACUUUUCAGUUAACAAGUCAACAUCGAUUUCUUUUGCUGUAAAAAAGCUUGAGGAAGGUGGCUUGAGAUUCGUCUUAAGUGUUUAUAGCCUCUUGCCUAUGCAGUCGGAGAGAUUGAGGUCUGCAGCGUAGAUCCUUCGGGGCUAAAUGCAUUUGUGCUAAGUUAUAGCAUUUUAUAGACAACUUGUUGACUAUGAUUUGUCUUGUAGCUUACUCGCUUAUGUUAUUUUACCUACGCUUAGGAUGUUGAUCUACAGAGCGAGAGU
rnacentral:rRNA from 1 species